rnacentral:rRNA from 1 species
UACGUAGGGGGCAAGCGUUGUCCGGAAUCAUUGGGCGUAAAGCGCGCGUAGGCGGCUCGGUAAGUCCGUUGUGAAAGUCGAAGGCUCAACCUUCGAAAGCCGAUGGAUACUGCCGGGCUAGAGUACGGAAGAGGCGAGUGGAAUUCCUGGUGUAGCGGUGGAAUGCGCAGAUAUCAGGAGGAACACCAAUAGCGAAGGCAGCUCGCUGGGACGUUACUGACGCUGAGGCGCGAAAGCGUGGGGAGCAAACAGG